rnacentral:rRNA from 1 species
CGGUAAAAUUGCGGGGCUCAACCCCGUACAGCCGUUGAAACUGCCGGGCUCGAGUGGGCGAGAGGUAUGCGGAAUGCGUGGUGUAGCGGUGAAAUGCAUAGAUAUCACGCAGAACCCCGAUUGCGAAGGCAGCAUACCGGUGCACAACUGACACUCAGGCACGAAAGCGUGGGUAUCGAACAGGAUUAGAUACCCUGGUAGUCCACGCAGUAAACGAUGAAUGCUACCUGUUUGGCCAGAUUGAUGGCUGAGCGGGACAGCGAAAGCGUUAAGCAUUCCACCUGGGGAGUACGCCGGCAACGGUGAAACUCAAAGGAAUUGACGGGGGCCCGCACAAGCGGAGGAACAUGUGGUUUAAUUCGAUGAUACGCGAGGAACCUUACCCGGGCUCAAACGCAUACUGACGACAGUUGAAAGAUUGUUUCCCUUCGGGGCAUUAUGCGAGGUGCUGCAUGGUUGUCGUCAGCUCGUGCCGUGAGGUGUCGGCUUAAGUGCCAUAACGAGCGCAACCCCUAUCGACAGUUGCUAACGAGUAGAGUCGAGGACUCUGUCGAGACUGCCGGCGCAAGCUGUGAGGAAGGCGGGGAUGACGUCAAAUCAGCACGGCCCUUACGUCCGGGGCGACACACGUGUUACAAUGGCAGGGACAGCGGGAAGCCACCAAGCGAUUGGGCGCGGAACCCGAAACCCUGUCUCAGUUCGGAUUGGAGUCUGCAACUCGACUCCAUGAAGCUGGAUUCGCUAGUAAUCGCGCAUCAGCCAUGGCGCGGUGAAUACGUUCCCGGGCCUUGUACACACCGCCCGUCAAGCCAUGGGAGUCGGGAGUGCCUGAAGUUCGUGACCGUUUAGGAGCGACCUAGGGCAAGACUGAUGACUGGGGCUAAGUCGUAACAAGGUAACCGUAA